AGUGGAGCUUAUUGUUGGUGUCUCUAUUUGAAGAAACUGCAAACACUUUUGAAUCUAAGACUCUCCCAUUCCUCUCGGGCUGAUCCUUGCUGGAACCUGGGCAACGCCACCCCACCCCAACUGGACCUAUCUACACAAUCUAAUCUACACAAGAAACGCUACAGGAAACGCGGUAGAAGGAGUGGCUGUCGCGUUCGCCUCAGGGUCUACUUUAAAGUUCUUAAAUGACUUCCUCUCCACUAAUGGAAUUGAUGCUUAAUUCCUGAUUGAAACCUGGAUUCGUCCUGGUGAAGGUAGAAAGUGUGUGUGAGCUGAAUUGAGC